AUGGCUCCGAUUCGACCCCUAGCCUGGGAACCCCCAUAUGCCAAGGGAGCAGCCCAAGAAAUAGCAAAAAAAGACAAAAAACAAAAAACAAAAAAAAAAACUUACCCCUUGGAAACAACAUUUCCCCUAUUACUCAAUACUUUAGGGCCUGUUACUUACCUGCUGCUAAUUUCUGCUUUUUAUUUUUCUUUUUUCUUUUUUUUUAAACUAAAAUGUGAUCUGGCUCCUUCCUCACACAAACAAUUUUCUCAUCUGACACUCCUACUGACACUCCUACUCACCACUUCCAGAUCAUAGGUUAAUCAGUCACUGCUCUAUGUUACUUCUAUACUUGAUACCUGUUGUCUAGAGUUUACCUUACACUCUAAUUAUUUAUGUAAUUAUUUACUUACUCGUCUGUCUCUCCCACUAGACCAUGAACCCCUUGAGGGCAGGGACCAUGUCUUACUCACAGCUCUCUCUUCAGAAGCUAGCACAAUGUAUAGUACACAGUAGGUGUGCUCAAUCAAUGUUUGCUGAAAGAAUGAACCAACCUUUCCUAGUAAACGAAGUCCAAAUUUUUUUUUCUUUUCCUUUUUAGGGCUGUACUCGCGGCACAUGGAAGUUCCCAGGCUAGGGCUUGAACUGGAGCUCAGAACUGUCGCUGCCGGCCUAUGUCAUAGACACAAGGAACGCUGCCAGAUCCAAAUGCAUCCAUGACCCAUGUCACAGCUCACAGAAAUCCCGGAUCCUUAACCCACUGAGCAAGGCCAGGGAUCGAACUCAUGAACUCUUGGAUACUAGUCGGGUUCUUAACCCGCUGAGCCACAAUGGGUGACUCCUUUCUUUUUUGGCCUCUCCCUGGGGCAUGCAGAAGUCUCCAGGCCACGGACUGAACCUGCACCACAGCAGUGACAACACCAGAUUCUUAAUUGCUGGGCUACAGGGAACUCCACAGUCCAAUUCCUGCCAAGGAAUACUAAACGAAUUUGGUUACCUUGGAUACUUAAUUGUUCAUGGGAAAACAUUCAAUACAGGAGAGAGGUACUGAGUUACAUUAUUCUCACUCAUUUUGACUUACCUGUGUUAAUAGGCCAGAGCAGAACGGAUAAAUUAGUUCCACAGAUAGAGCCUUAUUUGAGCCAGUUUCAAUUUCCCCCCUUAUAAAAGCUUUUGUUAAAGUUCCUAAUGAGAAGCAGAACUGACAAGACUUGAGCUCCAUUUUUUAUUUCCCAGUCUGACCGCAGAGAAAACCUGAAGGGCAAAAACAGAGGGAGAGACAGAAGACUUGAAAGACUGCCAGCCCACUGGGAGGGAG
rnacentral:lncRNA from 1 species